CCUACGGGUGGCAGCAGUGAGGAAUAUUGGUCAAUGGGCGCGAGCCUGAACCAGCCAAGUCGCGUGAGGGAUGACGGUCCUACGGAUUGUAAACCUCUUUUGCCGGGGAGCAAGCGUGCGUUCGUGAACGCGCGUCGAGAGUACCCGGAGAAAAAGCAUCGGCUAACUCCGUGCCAGCAGCCGCGGUAAUACGGAGGAUGCGCGCGUUAUCCGAAUGUAUUGGGGUUAAAGGGUGCGUAGGGGGGGUGCCAAGUCAGCGGGAAAAAUGCGGGGGUCAACGCCGUCGGGCCGUUGAAACUGGGGGUCUUGAGUGGGGGAGGAGUAUGCGGAAUUGGUGGGGUAGCGGUGAAAUGGCUAGAUAUCACGGAGAACUCCGGUUGCGAAGGCAGCAUACCGGCGCCCUACUGACGCUGAGGCACGAAAGCGUGGGUAUCGAACAGGAUUAGAUACCCCUGUAGUC
rnacentral:rRNA from 1 species